rnacentral:rRNA from 1 species
AGAGUUUGAUCCUGGCUCAGAUUGAACGCUGGCGGCGUGCCUAACACAUGCAAGUCGAACGGAGAAUUUCAAGAAGUUUACUUUGAGAAAUUUUUAGUGGCGGACGGGUGAGUAACGCGUGGGUAACCUACCCAUAAAUCCGGGACAACCCUUGGAAACGAGGGCCAAUACCGGAUAAUCUUUGAGAGUGGCAUCACGCU